rnacentral:lncRNA from 1 species
UUUUAUGGUGAGUAUGAAAUAAAGUAUGGUUUUAAAACGGUAAAGUACUGGGGCUGUCGAGAUGUCUCAGUGGUUAAGAGCACUUGCUCUCACAGAAGACCUGUGUUUGGUUCUCAGCACCCACAUGGUGGCUCACAACCAUCUGUAACUCUGGUUCCAAAGAUCUGAUGCCCUCCUCUGACCUCCGCUGACAUAAAGCAUGCAUAUAGUGCACAUACAUAAACGCAUUUAGGGCUUCUCUUUUAUUUGAGUAGAUAAGUUUAUAGCAUUCAGGCCAGUAACUUAUUACUAGAUAUUUCUAUGACCUGUUAAAGUUUUUUUUGUUGUUGUUGUAAGUACCUGCAUGUGGGUAUGUGUAUAUGUGUGUCCUCAGAUGUUCCUGGAGCUAAACUCACAGGCAGUUAAGAGCUAUCUCAUGUGGGUACUGGGAAUUGAACUCGGGUCCUCUACAAGAAUAGUCCUUGCUCUUCUAAACCAUCUCUCUAGACCCUUUAUUAAUUUUAUUAUUAUUUUUUAGUUAUGUGAGAACACUGUAGCUGUCUUCAGACACACCAGAAGAGGGCAUCAGAUCCUAUUACAGAUGGUUGUCAGGCACCAUGUGGUUGCUGGGAAUUGAACUCAAGAACCUCUGGAAAAGCAGUCAGUGUUUCUAACUGCUGAGCUGUCUCUCCAGUCUUUAUUAAAAUUUUCUAAAGAUAAACUUUCAUAUUUUUCCACAUCAGCAAUUGCUUUAUUUCUUUAUGUACCAAAUGCCAUUUUAGUUAGUGUCAUGUAAUGGAAGAUCUGAAAUACAGAAGUAAUGUGAAUCCACUUAGCUUGAGAAUUAACUCUGGGUUAUAUGUAUUUAACCCUUUGCAUCCUGUUUAUGCAUUGAUGUAAAUUUAUGUUCCUUCCAAUAGGGUUCCUUUUUGCUUGUGUAUAUGUGUGUGUGUGUGUGUGUGUGUGUGUGUGUGUGUGUAUACACACACAUACAUUUUUUUUUAAGGAUUUAUUCUUAUUUGGGGGGUUGGAAAGAUGGGUGAGUAACCGGUUAAGAGUGUAUACUGGUCUUGUAGAGGACCUGAGUUCGGUUCCCAGCACCCAUGUCAGGGCGCUCACAGCCCACCGUAACUCCAGCUGCACAGGGAUCCAUCCAUUGCCUCUGAUCUGCACGACCACUGUACUCAUGUGUGCAUGCAUAAGUACAUACACUAAAGUAAAAUAAAAUCUCUUUAAAAUUAAAAAUUGUUAUUAUUAUUGUUAUGUGUGUGUGUGUGUGUGUCUGUGUGUGUCUUUGCUGUGUGUGUUAUCUGUGUGCAUGCAUGCCAUCCAUGAAUGUGUAGAUAGCCAUGUAGGUCUGAGGAGACUGGACUCCCUGGAGCUGAAGUUACAGGUGGUGCAUCAGUCUGUGGAUCAGUCUGGGAUCCAAUCUUACAGAAGAACAGCAAAUGCUGCUAACACUGAGACAUUUCUUCAGCCCAAUUUUUAUUUUUUAAGACAGAGUCUCAGGUAGCCCAGGAUGAGCCCAGGAUUACUGAGUAGCCAAGGCUGGCCUUUCAAUUCCUGAACCUUUUCUAGUCUCCAUGUGCAACAUACCCGGCUUUGCAGUGGGAUGUCUGCUCAGACUUCAUAAUUAAUCCUGAACUUUGAGCUUUUCUCCAGUUUCCCUGCAGAGUCCAUUGCAGAGAUUUCUGAUUGCUUCCAUCCCAUAGUGCUUCCAGAAGGGGCUUCAGUCACCCGUACUACUUCAUCUUAGCCCAAGAAGUCAAGGGCUUUGGUUUCUAGGGAAGAUUUCUUUUAAUUAAAAAACAAAAAACAACUUUUAUUAAAAAAAAUGAAAAUGAAUAAAAAUACCACACACCAAAGUUAAACAAACCCAAAGUCUAUAUAUCUCAGUAAACUUCUAUAUAGUUAGCAUAGGCAUUCAGAACAGAAGCUGUGGGGCUUCACAUUACAUUUUAUACUUCCUUCCAAUUGAUUGAUUGAUUGAUUUAAAUGGUUUCUUUGUGUCCUGGAACUCCCAAAGUGGACCAGGCUGACCAUGAUCGUAGAGAUCCACUUGUCCCUACCUCCUGAGUGCUGGUAUUAAAGACACCAACUCAUGUCUAAAUUUUAUACUUUCGAUAUCAAAUAUGUUUUGUGUGUUAAUCCACCACUAACCCCAAAAAUAUCCAUGAGAGAAUUAGAAGUAAAAAACAAUGAGCUUCCCAUCCUCUUUCAUAAUUCCUGCCUGUUGCCUGCACUCAGCCUCUGUCUGAGCACUGGGAUCGCAGGCACAUACUACCAUGCCCAGCUUGAGUGCAGGCUGUUGCUCAGACUCUCACUUUUUGUUAAGGGAUGGUGCCUGUUGUGACCCUUCACAGUAAUGUGUGGAGUAAUGAUUAAGUUAUAAAAACGUAAGCUGUUGUAUCUGUUUAGUUUAUAAGGAGAUAAUGAGGACUAAUGGUCUUGGUAAUCUUUGAUCUUUUGGGAAGAAAGACAAGUUUACCAGGUAGUGGCGUCAUUUAUCUUUAAUCCCAGUAAGUUUGAGGUCAACCUGGUCUACAAGUUGAGUUCUAGGACAGUCAGGGCUGAAACAUAGAGAAACCCUAUUUUUAAAAACCAAACCAAACAAGU